rnacentral:rRNA from 1 species
UACGGAGGGUGCGAGCGUUGUUCGGAAUCACUGGGCGUAAAGGGCGUGUAGGCGGUCCGCUAAGUCUGAUGUGAAAGCCCGGGGCUCUCCCCCGGAAGGGCAUUGGAAACUGACGGACUCGAGUCCCGAAGAGGAGGGUGGAAUUCCUGGUGUAGCGGUGAAAUGCGUAGAUAUCAGGAGGAACACCGGUGGCGAAGGCGGCCCUCUGGACGGUGACUGACGCUGAGACGCGAAAGCGUGGGGAGCAAACAGG